CAUGGAUCUGUCCUGAGAGGAGGACGAGGUGUCUCCAAUGCCAAGCUUCGGCAGCAGAAGCAGCAGCCACAGCGUACACAAAAGCCCGAACUGUUGGGAGGCGGAGGGUGGAGGGAUCCUGAGAGAGGGACUGCGGCCGGAUGCCCAGCUGUCGGAGCCCCGGCCAGAAACUGAACAACCCACAUGGAUUUGACAUCCCCUCAUGAUCAUCCUCAUGAUCAUCCCCUCAUGAGAAAUUCCAAGUUUCUUCAUUUGAAAUACUGCUCUCUUCAAGAAACCACAAUUGUAAUAAUUUGUAGAAUGUAUUACCAUUAGAAAAUUAAUUAUGUAUUAUGCACACGUUUCUGAAAUACUUCACUGCAGUAAAUAGUAUAUGGUGAGAAUUAUUGUUUCCUUUAACAAAAAACUAAUGUGGGUAAAAUUAUUUACAUAAAUUCAGAUGUUUUGGCUUCAACUGCCAUUCUACCUCAUUAGCACUUCCCUAACUUCAUAAAAGGUAUGAUUUGAAAUUUUUGUUUAAUUCAGAAUGUAUUAAAAAGAAUUUUUAAAAAAUGUUAUAAUGUUUAUAUUGCAAUUGAGGACAUGUUCAAUAAAUAUCUUAAACUUCAGGCCCUAGCUAAGUAUUCCUUUUGUACUAGAAAUCAGAUUUCUCUGGCACAACUCCACUGCCUGCAAUAAUAUUUAUAAAAAUUACAAAUGCCAGUGCACUAUUUCAGUACUGUACUCAGUUGUUCAUAUCUAAAUAUUUCAUUAGCUAUGAAACAAAUGAAAUAUAAAUGCUGAAUAUAUAGCACAAAACAACAGAUUCUUUACAGAAGAAAACAGUAAAAGACUACUUUUCUAUAGUAUGUCACCUGUUCGUUAGUUCUUCGAUAGUAUUAUUUAGGCUUUAAAUAGUAUUAUUUGGACCUUUAUUUAUUUAUUUAGCCUAAAUAGUAUUAUUUAGGCUUUAAAUGGUAUUAUUUAGACCUUUAUUAUAAAGGUCCUUUUAUCUAGGUUCUAAAGGGCAUAAACAAGAAUGCAUAUAGCCAGAUUUAUUUUUAUAAACUUUUGAUAUUUCUUUUGCUGUGGGUCUUACUGUGAAUAUAUGGAGACAAAGACAAAUGUAUAUUUAAGUCAUUAGUGGUUAUAUGAAUUUUGCUUAUAUGGCUUUUUGCUUACAUGGAUGUCAUAAAUGACACGAUAAAAUAAUGAAGUUUGACAAACUCAUCUGUGCCCUGUAAACUUUAGUCCACUUACUGCAUAACUUGAUUCAAUCACUAUUUAUUAGUUUAAAAAAAUGGCAUUGAAAAGUUGCAAACCAAACUUUAUUACACAUUUCUGAAUCAGGAAGGGGUAAACUGUGCCACAGACUCUUUUUGGGAGAAAAGUUCUGCAAAAAAUAAAAUAAAAUAAAUAAGAGUUUCCAAACUCUAUUUUUUAAAAAACUUGAGUUUUCUUCUAUGACUAACCCUCACUCGACAGCCCCUUUUUACCCAAGGCCUAGUCCCUAGGUCAUCUUUUCAAGGUUUAGUUUCUGGGAAAUUUUCAGAAAACCUAUCUCAUGCUUUGUCC
rnacentral:lncRNA from 10 species